GAUUUUUGGCUUGGCCUCACUCACGGCCAGCUCUUCUCUGUUUUGUUCUCUUUGCUCUCUGUUUUUCUCUUUACUUGUGUUGUUUGUGUACAUAACACAAGCUUUGGUUUAUUCUUUCUUUACGCUCUAGCCUUUGUCAUGAUACAAAGAUAUAAACACUCUUGAAGCGAGAACUCGUUGGAUGUUUACAUUGUUAAUCGUUCUUCAACUCUUUUCUAUUAGCAUUGGAUACAUUCUUACAAGUUACAGCACAAUACACACAUACUUAUAGUAGUUUUAUCAGAUACUUACUACAACUCAAUUACUUGGGACUCUAGACUUAACAACUCACUUGUCUAUACCUUUACUUUAGGCACUAGAUUAAGGUUACAAGCAAAGAUAAGCAACUUGUUUUAACCACUAGCACUCUUACCCACUAUUACCAACUCUUAACUAUUGUCUCAAGACAAGUUCACACACACUCGAUAUCAAAGUCGAGAUCACACACACAAUCUAUAUUAUAAUAGGAGAGUUUUUGCUCUCUCCUAAGGCUAUCCACGUAGGCAAACUCUAUCUCUUCUUUUGGUGGAUCCUACUUGAACAAUAAAGAUGUUGUUUACGAACACGCUUUGACCUGCAUCUCUUCAGCUUCUUCUCUUUCUCAUCCUCCGUUGACGUUUUUCUAUUGAACUCUGCAAUGAAUUUUCACUUCACAUUUAAAUCUAUAAGUUCCACGAACUCUCCGUCUCCCUUGCUUUACAAUCAAAGCGUGAUGUGUAUGAAAACCGAAGAACACCUCUAACCCUAUAAAUAGGAGAGGGCUGAGAUUGGAAUCGAGCUUCAUAAACACGCUCUAUGAGUUUUUCUUCACUCGAAAGCCUAGAGCCCUUCUUCGGAAAUAUCAUCCUCUGAUGCUACUGUUGCCCAAUCAGCCGUCAGCCACACAAACAUUGACGCUCUCCGACAUGCGACUUCCCAAUUCAUUGUUUUCCAUACAUAUUUUUUUUUUGUCUAGGCAACACUCUUGCAUCCACAGGUAGCCUCUAUUUGACCUCUACACCAUCUACAAAAUUUUACUAUGACACCAACAUUCCUGUUGUUACGUUUCUUUCUACGAGUGUUUUUGAUUCGAGCUUAUUUUUGCAGGGACUUAAGGACGGAUCUUUUUUUCUUGAUAUGAUUAUCCCUUUAAAUCACCAAAGGCGGUGUUCAAGACUCGGAUCUACCUUUGCAAUAUUGAUGCUGCAGGGAACUUAAGUGUGGAGAUUCUAAGAGACAUUUGGAGCCCAGCUCUUAAAGUCACAAAAGUCUUGGAAGCCAUUAGAUCUAUCUUCUUAAAACCUGAGACAUACAAUCCAGCUUUACCAGUGAUUGCACUGCUCUACUUGUCGGAUAGAGAAAAGCAUGAGGAGGUAGCAAAAUAAUGGACACUGCGAUUUGCCAAGUGAACAAGAUUUGAGAAACAUUUGUAAUACGAGCAAAGACAACAGAUGAUUAAUGUCUUAUUGUAUCUACACCAAGUUAUUUGAUGAAUGAUCAAUUCAGCGGGACGAAUCGAGGAUUUGUGUUUCCCGAGUGCACAAGCAGCUUGGGAGGUGCAUCAUCGGAGGUUUUUCCGUGUGUUGGUACCAUGGUAGGGAUCAAAAAGAAAGAGCUUUUGUAACUUGGAUAUCUAAACACGUUCAUCUUUAACUAUAACGAGCAGAUAACACUCACGUCAACAAGCUUUGUUAGUGACAAAAUUGACCGAAAGCAUUAUUGUUUUGGUUUACUCCAGUCCUGUAAAGCUUCAGGUUAUAAACGUUUGUUAUAUAGUUUGUAUAUGUUCUCAGUUUCUCUUAUAUCUUUUUCCCCUAAUAUGAUUGAAUCCUACUUUUUUUUUCUUUCAUUGGCUAGGUAAAGAUCCUUUCCAAGCUUGAUGGCUUCUAGAAUCAUGUUUAGAGUCUUGGAAAUUUGUAAAGAAAAGUUUAAAUCGAGGGUAUUUACCAA